AUGGAGAUGGUCUCUGGAGGAAGGAGGAGAAGCCGCCUUGCGACUCGGCGCACAAUAAAGCUACUGGUGAACACCCGCACCGGGCGCGUGGUGUGCGCGGAGGCCGGGAAGGAUGUGGUGGACUUCCUCUUCUCCCUCCUCGCCAUCCCCAUCGGCACCGUCGCCAGGCUGCUCGCCGCGGAUCCCAUUGGCAGCGUCGGCAACUUGUCCCGGAGCCUCGACGAGCUCGACGGCACCUACAUCGUCGACGAACAUGCAAGGGACGCCCUGCUCCCGCCCAGGGCCGGCGGCGGCCUUCUCCUCCUGCUCACCGCUGGCGCGUCGUCCUUCUCUCGCGGGGUCGUGCAGGGCGUCGUGACCUACACGAUCACGGACGACCUCAAGGUCACCCCCAUGUCUCGCAUCUCUGAGAUCCCCAUGAUCAACGCCCACCGUAUCAGGGACCCCCGCGACCUCCAGGAGAGGAUUGUCCACUUUGGCCGCACCGAGAGUCUGAAGAUACUGAAGGCGUCACUGCAGUCCCGGACGGUCCUCACCGACGUCUUCCUUAGGAGGCCCUAA
rnacentral:rRNA from 1 species